rnacentral:rRNA from 1 species
UGCGUAGGCGGUCCGGAAAGUUGGGUGUGAAAGCCCUCGGCUCAACCGAGGAAUUGCGCUCAAAACUGCCGGACUAGAGGGAGACAGAGGUGAGCGGAACUUGCGGUGGAGCGGUGAAAUGCGUUGAUAUCGCAAGGAACACCAGUAGCGAAAGCGGCUCACUGGGUCUCUUCUGACGCUCAGGCACGAAAGCUAGGGGAGCGAACG